rnacentral:snRNA from 1 species
GGAUGUGAGGGCGAUCUGGCUGCGACAUCUGUCACCCCAUUGAUCGCCAGGGUUGAUUCAGCUGAUCUGGCUGGCUAGGCGGGUGUCCCCUUCCUCCCUCACCACUCCAUGUGCGUCCCUCCCAAAGCUGUGCUCCAUCAAAGAGGACGACCAUCCCCGAUAGAGGAGGACCGUUCUUUUGUCAAGGGUAUACGAGUAGCUGCGCUCCCCUGCUAGAACCUCCAAACAAGCUCUCAAAAUUGUUUGGCCAUUCUAAUAUCCAUUCCAUUUACAUACAGAUUUAAGGAUUCCCUU